CACAGCCGUGCUCCUAAUCCUAAUCCCAGACUGUUCGUGCGAAAUGCCAUGGCAGUCACAUAAAGAGAGCCAGAAGAGAAGGAUACUUGCUACCUUUGGACACAGAUGAUUCAAAUUUUGGAGUUGUUGAAGCAUCAAUUCCUGACUGGGAUACAAUUCAAGAGGCAGUGAGAGUCCAUGUGGCCACAAUUCAAUCAUGAGUCUUCAGUCCCUGACCUUGGGAGUCCUUAAAGCAGAGCCCAACCUUGUCCUCAACGCAGUGUCCACUAACACACAAUUCCAUCUUGGACCACUGGAUAAUGAGCAGGAUUAGGAAAGCUGAGGUGACCAGAGCUAAUGAGAACUGCAGUCAUGACUGUUCCACUGCCUUUGUUGAGAUAAGUUCUGGAAUUGAGCUGGGGGACUUUCCUGAUUCAGAUAUGCACUGGAUAAACACACAAGGAGCCAUGGGAGGAGCUCCAAGGCAAUUUUGAAUAAAUGUAUCACUGUACCUGAUACAUUAAAGUGCCUGAAUUCUGCA